GUUUUCUUUAUUGGGGUUGCGGACAUAUCAUAACGAAGAGGUAUCGUAAUUGAAGAGGUUUGGAAAGACCCACCACAGAAGGUAAUAGUCCUGUAUGUUAAACGAGAAGACUUCAGAUAUGAUCCAGAGUACCACGGGACACGUGAAACCCUGUGGGAAGCAGGAGGGACCACCCUCCAAGGCUAAAUACUACCUAGUGACCGAUAGCGUAUAGUACCGUGAGGGAAAGGUGAAAAGAACCCCGGGAGGGGAGUGAAAUAGAACCUGAAACCCUGCACUUACAAGCUGUGGAAGCACAUUUCUUGUGUGACCGCGUACUUUUUGUAGAACGGGCCAACGAGUUACGUUAAGUAG
rnacentral:rRNA from 1 species